UACGUAGGGUGCAAGCGUUGUCCGGAAUUAUUGGGCGUAAAGAGCUCGUAGGCGGUCUGUCGCGUCUGGUGUGAAAAUCCAGGGCUUAACCCUGGACCUGCAUCGGGUACGGGCAGACUAGAGUGCGGUAGGGGAGAUCGGAAUUCCUGGUGUAGCGGUGAAAUGCGCAGAUAUCAGGAGGAACACCGGGUGGCGAAGGCGGAUCUCCUGGGCCGUAACUGACGCUGAGGAGCGAAAGCAUGGGGAGCGAACAG
rnacentral:rRNA from 1 species